ACGCGCAUCCUUUAAUAGAACUAAGAAAUUUUUUUGCCCAUGAGCCAACAUACCGUGUAAAUUCUUUCCUUGUAAACUGUCACAUCUCUCUCCUCCUUCUCAGGCCACCGGCGAAACCACCGGCGAGUAAUACGCACUCACACGCUGACACACUCGCACCCUAAUUUAUUCGAAAGCCUUUCCUCUUCCAAGCAAACCCAUGAGGAGUUAGUGAGCAACCCAGCCUACCCUCUCAGUCCUCCCAUCUUCAAUUCUCUAAACCUGCACCUUUCUUUCACGAAAGCCGGCCACCAAGGGUAAGAGGGCUUUGUAAUCUCGGAAUUCUGCCCGCGUUCACCACCGUACCAUCCAUCUUCCGAUGGAGAUCCACUUGGGUUCAACUAUCACCAAAUAACAAUCGCGUUUCUCACCACCACCACCACCACCGUCCGUUUUCUUCGAAUUUAAGUGAAUUUAUGCACUACGGAGGGUUUUGGCACAUCAAUCUCUGAGCAAAUAAUCCAGGUGCAGAGUCCAAAAUUUGGUAUUUCAUGGACGAAAGGGAAGUUGAGUUUCAAAUCUCGUAGAGUCAAAGGAGAACCGUUGCUGAAGAAGGAUUAUGGUGAAGAAGGUGGAGAUUAAUUACAUUGACUUUUAUCGCCGGCAGCUUUCCUCUUGGCGCAAUUUGGCUCAAUGGGAAGUGGAUCACUCAUCUCUGAAUUUGGGGAUGACAACUUCGUUGUUGGUAGUUGGGAACUAAAGGAGGUACCGAGCCGUGACUGGAGCAUGAAGCUUCAAACUCAAAUCUUCUUCGCUUCAAUUGACCAAUGAAGUGAAAGGGCGGCUGGUGAGAGUGCCUGCACUGCUUUGGUUGCUGUUAUUGUCGAUUGCCUCGGAUACCAGCAGUCAUGGUGGAUUUUCUGUCCCUCGCUGUGCUGCUGAGGACUGCUUCUCUCCCCUGUUGGCAUGUUAGCACCAUGUGUUCGUAUUGGGAGACGAUCUGCAUCUACUGGUUUCCUGGGAGGCAUUAUUCGUGCUUGUAGUGAACUUCCCAGUAGCGUCUUUGAAGCUGAAAGACCAGGAUGUAGAUUUUCCGCGAAGCACCGAAUGGCAUCAUAUCUUUACACGGAAACUCCAUCAAGUAACAUCAGCAGUUAAAACUAGGCGAAUCAGCCUUAUUGAUCUUGUUGCAAUGUGAAGAGAUAAACAAGUUGAUGCCGGAAGCGAGUUUGAAAGGGAACGAAAAGAACUGAAGAGUUCUUUGUCACACUUUGGGUUUUCACAACUCCAAGGGAGGGGCCCUUUACCAAAGAGGAGUUGGAUGAAGUUCGAGACAAGUGGGCUACUUACUUCAACGAUUGUGAACUACCCUCAGUGUAAUAAAUAGAGCAGGCUUGUAGUUAUCCGUGACUUUUACAUUAUUUUGUUAUUUAUCGAUUUAAUUAAUUACAUUUGAAUUAAUUCGGUAAUAUUAUUGGAAAUUUGAAAUUUAUAUCAUUUUUGAGGAAUGUCAAGAUGAUGUUUGGUGAAACAGUAUUCUAUAAAUUAUAAUGCAGAAUUUUAUAUUGCAAAA